rnacentral:rRNA from 1 species
GAUGAACGCUGGCGGCAUGCCUAAGACAUGCAAGUCGAACGAAGUGGUCCAAUGAAGAUUGAGUGCUUGCACGAGAUUGGAUUUGGGUUGCCACUUAGUGGCGCAAGGGUGAGUAACACGUAGGUAACCUGCCUUAGAGACUGGGAUAACAACUGGAAACGGUUGCUAAUACCGGAUGAUAUAUACAAUGAUACGUUGUUGUAUAUUAAAAGGAGCCUUUAAAAGCUCUACUUUAAGAUGGGCCUGCGGCGUAUUAGCUAGUUGGUGGGUAAAGGCCUACCAAGGCGACGAUGCGUAGCCGACCUGAGAGGGUGAUCGGCCACACUGGGACUGAGACACGGCCCAGGACUCCUACGGGGANACAGCAGUUAGGAAUAUCGUCAAUGGGGAAACCCUGAACGAGCAAUGCCGCGUGAAGGAAGACGGUCCUAUGGAUUGUAAACUUCUGUUGUUAGGGAAGAACGACCUAGAUAGGAAAUGAUUUAGGAGUGACGGUACCUUC